AGAGCGAACGCUGGCGGCAGGCCUAACACAUGCAAGUCGAACGGACCCUUCGGGGUUAGUGGCGGACGGGUGAGUAACACGUGGGAACGUGCCUUUAGGUUCGGAAUAGCUCCUGGAAACGGGUGGUAAUGCCGAAUGUGCCCUUCGGGGGAAAGAUUUAUCGCCUUUAGAGCGGCCCGCGUCUGAUUAGCUUGUUGGUGAGGUAAUGGCUCACCAAGGCUACGAUCAGUAGCUGGUCUGAGAGGAUGACCAGCCACAUUGGGACUGAGACACGGCCCAAACUCCUACGGGAGGCAGCAGUGGGGAAUCUUGCGCAAGUGGGACGAAAGCCUGACGCAGCCAUCGCCGCGUGUAUGAUGGAAGUCUUAGGAUUAGUAAAAUCUUUACGACCGGUAGAAGAUAAUGACUGUAGCGGAGAAGACGCCCGCUAACUCGUGUCAGCAGCCGA
rnacentral:rRNA from 1 species